UGAGGAAUAUUGGUCAAUGGGCGCAAGCCUGAACCAGCCAUCCCGCGUGCAGGAAGACGGCGCUAUGCGUUGUAAACUGCUUUUCCAGGGGGAGAAACUUGCGCACGUGUUGCGCAAUUGACGGUACCCUGGGAAUAAGCAUCGGCUAACUCCGUGCCAGCAGCCGCGGUAAUACGGAGGAUGCGAGCGUUAUCCGGAUUCAUUGGGUUUAAAGGGUGCGUAGGCGGACUAUUAAGUCAGUGGUGAAAUCCUGCAGCUUAACUGCAGAACUGCCAUUGAUACUGAUAGCCUUGAGUUUGGUUAAGGUAGGCGGAAUGUGUAAUGUAGCGGUGAGAUGCUUAGAUAUUACACAGAACACCAAUUGCGUAGGCAGCUUACUGAGCCGACACUGACGCUGAGACACGAAAGCGUGGGGAUCGAACAG
rnacentral:rRNA from 1 species